rnacentral:rRNA from 1 species
GUGUCAGCCGCCGCGGUAAGACGUAGGAUGCGAGCGUUGUCCGGAUUCAUUGGGCGUAAAGAGUUCGUAGGCGGUUUGUUAAGUCUGAUGUUAAAGAUCGGGGCUCAACCCUGGGAGUGCAUUGGAUACUGGCAGACUGGAGUGCAGUAGAGGCGAGUGGAAUUCCCAGUGUAGCGGUGAAAUGCGUAGAUAUUGGGAAGAACACCGGUGGCGCAGGCGACUCGCUGGGCUGUAACUGACGCUGAGGAACGAAAGCUAGGGGAGCAAAUGGGAUUAGAAACCCUGGUAGUCC